CCUACGGGAGGCAGCAGUCGGGAAUAUUGGGCAAUGGGCGAAAGCCUGACCCAGCGACGCCGCGUGAGGGAAGAAGGCCUUCGGGUCGUAAGCCUCUGUCAUCGGGGACGAAGGAAGUGACGGUACCCGAGGAGGAAGCCCCUGCUAACUACGUGCCAGCAGCCGCGGUAAU
rnacentral:rRNA from 1 species